rnacentral:rRNA from 1 species
AGUGAACGCUGGCGGUAGGCCUAACACAUGCAAGUCGAACGGCAGCACAGUAAGAGCUUGCUCUUACGGGUGGCGAGUGGCGGACGGGUGAGGAAUACAUCGGAAUCUACUUUUUCGUGGGGGAUAACGUAGGGAAACUUACGCUAAUACCGCAUACGACCUACGGGUGAAAGCAGGGGAUCUUCGGACCUUGCGCGAUUGAAUGAGCCGAUGUCGGAUUAGCUAGUUGGCGGGGUAAAGGCCCACCAAGGCGACGAUCCGUAGCUGGUCUGAGAGGAUGAUCAGCCACACUGGAACUGAGACACGGUCCAGACUCCUACGGGAGGCAGCAGUGGGGAAUAUUGGACAAUGGGCGCAAGCCUGACGCAGCCAUACCGCGUGGGUGAAGAAGGCCUUCGGGUCGUAAAGCCCUGUUGUUGGGAAAGAAAAGCAGCAGGUUAAUACCCCGAUGUUCUGACGGUACCCAAAGAAUAAGCACCGGCUAACUACGUG